rnacentral:rRNA from 1 species
CGCGGCCUAUCAGCUUGUUGGUGGGGUGAUGGCCUACCAAGGCGGUGACGGGUAGCCGGCCUGAGAGGGCGACCGGCCACACUGGGACUGAGACACGGCCCAGACUCCUACGGGAGGCAGCAGUGGGGAAUAUUGCGCAAUGGGCGGAAGCCUGACGCAGCGACGCCGCGUGGGGGAUGACGGCCUACGGGCUGUAAACCUCUUUCGCCAGGGACGAAGAGCAAUUGACGGUACCUGGAGAAGAAGCACCGGCCAACUACGUGCCAGCAGCCGCGGUAACACGUAGGGUGCGAGCGUUGUCCGGAAUUAUUGGGCGUAAAGAGCUCGUAGGCGGUGUGCCGCGUCGGCCGUGAAAACUUGGGGCUUAACUCUGAGCGUGCGGUCGAUACGGGCAUCGCUUGAGUUCGGCAGGGGAGACUGGAAUUCCUGGUGUAGCGGUGAAAUGCGCAGAUAUCAGGAGGAACACCGGUGGCGAAGGCGGGUCUCUGGGCCGAUACUGACGCUGAGGAGCGAAAGCGUGGGGAGCGAACAGGAUUAGAUACCCUGGUAGUCCACGCCGUAAACGUUGGGCGCUAGGUGUGGGGACCAUUCCACGGUUUCUGUGCCGCAGCUAACGCAUUAAGCGCCCCGCCUGGGGAGUACGG